rnacentral:rRNA from 1 species
CCUACGGGAUGCUGCAGUGGGGAAUAUUGGACAAUGGGCGAAAGCCUGAUCCAGCCAUGCCGCGUGUGUGAAGAAGGCCUUCGGGUUGUAACGCACUUUCAGUGGGGAAGAAAGCCUUGUGGCUAAUACCCUCGAGGAAGGACAUCACCCACAGAAGAAGCACCGGCUAACUCCGUGCCAGCAGCCGCGGUAAUACGGAGGGUGCGAGCGUUAAUCGGAAUUACUGGGCGUACAGCGCGCGUAGGCGGUCUGAUAAGCCGGUUGUGAAAGCCCCGGGCUCAACCUGGGAACGGCAUCCAGAACUGUCAGGCUAGAGUGCAGGAGAGGAAGGUAGAAUUCCCGGUGUAGCAGUGAAAUGCGUAGAGAUCGGGAGGAAUACCAGUGGCGAAGGCGGCCUUCUGGACUGACACUGACGCUGAGGUGCGAAAGCGUGGGUAGCAAACAGGAUUAGAUACCCUUGUAGUC